ACGGCAUGAUGAGGACAUUUUCUGAUGAGAUCCUUUAAUCGUUCCCGUGACUCAUGGAACUGCUCACCAUCUUGUUGCGAAAAGCUAGUGAGAGAUUGUCUUAUCU
rnacentral:snoRNA from 1 species